CCUGCCUCAUGAAUUGUACUCUUCCGAGGAACGAACGGGGAUCUUAAGCUCAUCUUCUGACCAACAGACACGAAAACGUAUUCAGAAAGAAUCAGACCAUGCUGAAAUCGAUAGUUUUCGUCGUCUUUAUUUUGGCUUUUGGAAGUCUAGGUGAAGCUCUCGAGUGCCCUACUUGUUUCAGUCGUGAAGAUGGAAAACAUUGCAACGAAAUAGCCACAUUAAAGACGUGUACAGAUCCCAACGCUGUUUGCGCUUUGUACUAUUCUGAGUCCAGUCUGAAGGGCGGUGUUUAUAUGAGAUAUUGUAGCUCUUUAGACCGAGUCUUAACCUUACAGGCCCUAUGCAAAAAUCAGCCGGCAGAAAUUGAGGGGCUGGGCUCAGUAACGUGUCGUGCCGAGUGUGAAGGAUGUUCCUUCACUUCAGUGGUAUGAAGCAGCAGGUGUUUCUUUGUACACAUGCUUUUCCUUUUACAAGCUCGUUGUAGAACUGUAGUAAACGCUUAAAGCGCAGCUUGUGUUAUGUUGAAAUAAAGAUAUAAUUGGUCAGUAA